GCCCUGGAUUUUCUUCAUAAGGAAAUGGCUCCAACCUUUGAUCACUUUUAUUUCGCCCAUGAGAAAGUAAUGUCAAGAACGCCAGGUGUGAUGAACUCAACAAUUAUGACUGAUACUGAAAUGAGCAAGUGAUUAUGUUGAAGCACUUUAAGAACUAGAUAAGAAGAACUGUGUGAACAGAAGGGUUUGAGUCUUUCAGCUACUUCUGCUUCUUGAAGAUUAAAUGGCAGGGAAGCCCCUUCCUCUUUCUGCUCCACUGAGGCCACAUCCCAGCAGGCAACCUUGCAACGCCCUAGCAUGAAUGUAUGGGAUGAGCUCAAACAUCAGC